GCUUACGGCCACACUGCCUAGUUCACGCCCGAUCUCGUUUGAUCUCGGAAGCUAAGAUAGGGUGGGCCUGGUUAAUACUUGGAUGGGAGACCCCUGGGAAUACCAGGUGCUGUAAGCU
ensembl:rRNA 5S_rRNA 5S ribosomal RNA